rnacentral:rRNA from 1 species
GACGAACGCUGGCGGCGUGCUUAACACAUGCAAGUCGAACGGUGAACCAGAGCUUGCUCUGGGGAUCAGUGGCGAACGGGUGAGUAACACGUGGGCAACCUGCCCCAGACUCUGGGAUAACCUCGGGAAACCGAUGCUAAUACCGGAUACGACCACUUCGGACAUCCGACGGUGGUGGAAAGUUUUUCGGUCUGGGAUGGGCCCGCGGCCUAUCAGCUAGUUGGUGGGGUAAUGGCCUACCAAGGCGACGACGGGUAGCCGGCCUGAGAGGGCGACCGGCCACACUGGAACUGAGACACGGUCCAGACUCCUACGGGAGGCAGCAGUGGGGAAUAUUGCACAAUGGGCGAAAGCCUGAUGCAGCGACGCCGCGUGAGGGACGACGG